UUAAUUUUAAACAUUAAUUUUAAUAAAUUUUUUAAAGCUGUUCUUAUCAUUUGAAUAUCUAAUAUGUCCUUUAUUUGAGGACUGUAUAUUAAAUUGAUUUUUGAAAUAGGGGGAUGGAAUAGGAGCUUGCUCCAUCCACCCCAUGCAUCGACCUGGUAUUGCAGUGCCUCCGGGAACAGUGCAAAGAAA
rnacentral:snRNA from 1 species